AUUGAACGCUGGCGGCAUGCCUAACACAUGCCAGUCGAACGGAAGCACGGGUCUUUGUCCUUGGUGCCGAGUGGCGCACGGGUGAGUAACACAUGAGUACGCCUCCUAUUGGGGGGGAAAGCCCGGCGAAAGCCGGUUUUACACCAUACUCGCUGCUCGGGAGAGAGGGGGGGCUUUUGACCUCUCGCUCUCUGGGGAUCGUAGGUCGGAUUAGCUAGUUGGUGGGGUAAAGGCCUACCAAGGCGACGAUCUGUAACUGGUCUGAGAGGACGAUCAGUCACACUGGAACUGAGACACGGUCCAGACUCCUACGGGAGGCAGCAGUGGGGAAUGUUGGACAAUGGGCGAAAGCCUGAUCCAGCGAUGCCGCGUGUGUGAAGAAGGCCUUCGGGUUGUAAAGCACUUUUGGUGGGGAGGAAAGGCUGUAAGCUAAUACGUUGGGGGGAUGACGGUACCGGAAGAAUAAGCACCGGCUAACUACGUG
rnacentral:rRNA from 1 species